rnacentral:rRNA from 1 species
CCUACGGGAGGCAGCAGUGAGGAAUAUUGGUCAAUGGACGCAAGUCUGAACCAGCCAUGCCGCGUGCAGGAAGACGGCUCUAUGAGUUGUAAACUGCUUUUGUACGAGGGUAAACGCAGAUACGCUGAUCUGUCUGAAAGUAUCGUACGAAUAAGGAUCGGCUAACUCCGUGCCAGCCGCCGCGGUAAUACGGAGGAUUCAAGCGUUAUCCGGAUUUAUUGGGUUUAAAGGGUGCGUAGGCGGUCGGAUAAGUUAGAGGUGAAAUCCCGAGGCUCAACUUCGGAAUUGCCUCUGAUACUGUUCGGCUAGAGAGUAGUUGCGGUAGGCGGAAUGUAUGGUGUAGCGGUGAAAUGCUUAGAGAUCAUACAGAACACCGAUUGCGAAGGCAGCUUACCAAGCUACUUCUGACGUUGAGGCACGAAAGCGUGGGGAGCAAACAGGAUUAGAUACCCUUGUAGUC